GCCAGCGCCAAUAGCACGUUGAAUACACCAAUUCCCUACAGAUCACUGAAGUUAACCAACUUUGAGAUAAGUAUCUGGAUGGGUAAUCGUCUGAGACAACUCUUUGUUACUGUCC
rfam:Asian citrus Psyllid, Diaphorina citri - Florida Strain, whole genome shotgun sequence.